GAAAAAUCGACACCUGACACUUUUAUUUAGACGAUGCGUUUAGAUUUAGUUGGUUACGGUUGGGCUUCGUUAAUCAAAUCUGUAUGGGCCGUGUAUGUUGCUUUGUUUUAUUUGUUUGGGUCCAUGAUUUACAUAAACUCGGUCUAACAUUUGUCUUAGGUUUACUAAGCUUCUUCAUCUUUGAUGCUCAGGGCCGAUGGCCAUGGUUUCCAAUAAUUUUUUUUGAAACGUUUGUACUUCUCUUUAACUUCGUCAUUGAUCCAAUCAUACUAAACUACACCCACCUCCCCUCCCCUCCCACUCCGUCUUAUUAAUUCGUCUCAUUAUAGGCGGCUUGAAGCUCCCACCUCCCCUCCCUCUUCUUCCUCGAUUUUCUCUUUCACCCAAAUCACGCAAACCAAAUUUUCAGAGCAAUCAAUAGUAUCCAGAAUGAAAAGAGAAGAAGAUGGUAUCCAGAAUGGCGAAUUCUAUCGUCAAAUCUCUUUUUCUUUUCAUUUGUUUGUGUAGGUGUAGCAAACAGUAGGUGAGCUCAUGCCCCCAAAUUGUUCAAAAUCCUCGACGAAAGGCACAUACUUGGAACAGCUUUGACAAAUAAGACUCUUCCGUGGCAUGUGUUUGUCUCUUCGUUCUCGAGCAACUUCUCUAUGUGUAGUUCACCAUGACUAUUCCCGUGUUCCAUAUGUCCAUGGGUUUCUUGCCUUUCGUUCUGCAAAAGAGGAUGGAUUAUAAGCAUCCUCUCUAUUCUCGGGUUUCAUCAGAUUUUUUUAUUAGAUGACUCUGUUUUUUUUUUUAAUAUAGAUGAUGUUUUCAGUCAGAUCGAGAUGUUCGCAAGAUGUAUAUAUACUUGGGAACAAAUGCUUUUGCAGAAUAAAAAAAAUGGAAUCAUGUAAGCUGUUCAUCAGUCGUCUCUCUUGGAAAACCACUGAAUAUCGAGAGUACUUUUAGAGUUUCGUUGAGGUUUUACAAGUGGUGAUCAUGGAGGAUCGAUCCACUUGCUGUGCUCAUGGCUUUGGUUUCUUUUUCUUCGCUGGUCCAGUGUUGCUGCGAGAGUCAUAUUGCUCAUUCACGUCAUCGAUUUUAAAUUAGACGAGCGGGUCUAGGUGGUGGUGGUUAAGACAAUGGCGGGCGUGGAGAAGAAGGAUGGCGAGGGAUCGGAAAAGAAGUGGAAUGGUUCAUCGACCAGUGACAUUGAGCGGUUGGAUAUGGGACUAUUCUAAUGAUCACCGCUAGAGCAUGUGGCUUUGGUAUUAAGAAAUUCCAGGAUUUAAUUUUUGUACGCAAGUUGUUUGAUCAUAAUUUUUAAGAAUAUUUCUGUAUGAGAUUCAAUAUUUUACACAUUUGAUUUUAACCUUAUAAAUCUCAGUCCAAAACAUCUGAGGACUCUUUUACCAAA